UUCCUCUUUAUUUUUCCUUUACCUUCCCAAGUUUUCUUUCUUAAUUUCUCAUUUCCAUGCACGAUAACACAGCACACACACUUCAGUCUAUAACACACAGAAUUAGAUAAAGCCUCUCUCUCUCUCUCUCUCUCUCUCUCUCUCUCUUUCAUUCUUUUGCAUGCGCUAGAGUUUUCUUCAAUUGUAGCUCUAUUUCUCAACAUCAAUACGAAACCUUCCACGGUUCUUCAUGAAGUUCAGAAACUUGAACUUCCCACACUGGCAAUCACUGGUUGGAGGAUAGCUGGAUUUCUGAUGGGCAUGCUAGAAAAUCGCUGAGUUGGACCCAUCGCAUAGGAGCUGCAAUUGAAGUAGCAAAGGGAAUUCAAUUUUUUCAUACAACGAUUGUCCCUGUUGUAUAUUCCAAUGAUCUUAAGAUAAAAGAUGUUUUGUUGGAUCAGAAUCUUGUUGCAAAAAUCAGCAGUUAUAACCUGACGUUGUUAUCUAACAUGGGAAAGUUACAAAGAAAAUAAUUGUGAACUUUUUUAAUGAGGAAAAAAAUCAUAAGUUUGCUUUUUUGUAUUUUCCUUCAAAACAAGUCUUGAGUUGGUACUGAUCACCUUGGCUUAUCCUUGCAGGUUCGGCAUGGUUGUUCUUCCAAUGGAUUCAAAAAUUCUAGCAUUAAUAUAAGAUGUGUGAUAGAACAAUCAUAAAACCUGUAUCGGUUACUUGCAGACUCAGAUGUCAUGGCCUCACAUAAGGAAAAACAGAGAGCCAAGAUACGGGAAAUAUUGACAAAUGUGUGAAAGAAAAGUUGGUGGACUUCUGUGAUGUGCUCAACAUACAAAAGUUAAGAUUGGUAUGAAGAAGAAAGGUAAAAAGCAUGCCACAAAGGCAACCCCAAGCAAAUCUUCUGGGGAAGCUUCUGAAAAACCUGCUAAGGGAUGCAAAAGUUGAUUCUCAGGAAGAUGAAGAUAUUUCAGUGCCAAAAGGUGAAGAUAAUAAUGAGGAAAGUAAAUCAGAGGAAGAGGAAGAUAAAAGGAAAACUAACAAAUCUACUUCAAAAUAGAAUGUGAUGGAGAUUCAAACAGCACCUGUGAAGAAGACCACUGGUGUACAAGUCAUCAGACAUAGUAGAUAUUUAGGUUUAAAUAUUCGUAAUUUUAUUGA